rnacentral:rRNA from 1 species
UACGAAGGGGGCUAGCGUUGCUCGGAAUCACUGGGCGUAAAGGGUGCGUAGGCGGGUUCUUAAGUCAGAGGUGAAAUCCUGGAGCUCAACUCCAGAACUGCCUUUGAUACUGAAGAUCUUGAGUUCGGGAGAGGUGAGUGGAACUGCGAGUGUAGAGGUGAAAUUCGUAGAUAUUCGCAAGAACACCCAGUGGCGAAGGCGGCUCACUGGCCCGGUACUGGACGCUGAGGUGGCGAAAAGCG